GGGGGUCUAGCUCAAAUGGUAGAGCGUGUGAUUCGCAUUUACAAGGUAAUGGGAUCGAUACCCAUGUCCUCCA